rnacentral:rRNA from 1 species
UACGGGGGGGGCAAGCGUUGUUCGGAAUUACUGGGCGUAAAGGGCGCGUAGGCGGCCAACUAAGUCAGACGUGAAAUCCCUCGGCUCAACCGGGGAACUGCGUCUGAUACUGGAUGGCUUGAAUUCGGGAGAGGGAUGCGGAAUUCCAGGUGUAGCGGUGAAAUGCGUAGAUAUCUGGAGGAACACCGGUGGCGAAGGCGGCAUCCUGGACCGAGAUUGACGCUGAUGCGCGAAAGCCAGGGGAGCAAACGGG